UCUCUCCAUUCCAAUCAAAUCAUUUCAAUUUCAAUCAUCCAUUUCUUCUUGCCUCUAAUCAAUUUUUUUCAGCCCUAAUGGGCUGAACUACGAACGCUUUGAUUUCCUCAUUGCACAAUGAGGGUACGUAGGCUGGAGAACCCAGUUUCUUCACGAGCUAUCUUAUCUAAAUCCUAUCUAUCGAUCAAUCAUUCUUCAUUCAUUC
rnacentral:lncRNA from 1 species